rnacentral:rRNA from 1 species
GACGAACGCUGGCGGCGUGCCUAAUACAUGCAAGUUGAGCGCUGAAGGUUGGUACUUGUACCAACUGGAUGAGCAGCGAACGGGUGAGUAACGCGUGGGGAAUCUGCCUUUGAGCGGGGGACAACAUUUGGAAACGAAUGCUAAUACCGCAUAAAAACUUUAAACACAAGUUUUAAGUUUGAAAGAUGCAAUUGCAUCACUCAAAGAUGAUCCCGCGUUGUAUUAGCUAGUUGGUGAGGUAAAGGCUCACCAAGGCGAUGAUACAUAGCCGACCUGAGAGGGUGAUCGGCCACAUUGGGACUGAGACACGGCCCAAACUCCUACGGGAGGCAGCAGUAGGGAAGCUUCGGCAAUGGACGAAAGUCUGACCGAGCAACGCCGCGUGAGUGAAGAAGGUUUUCGGAUCGUAAAACUCUGUUGGUAGAGAAGAACGUUGGUGAGAGUGGAAAGCUCAUCAAGUGACGGUAACUACACAGAAAGGGACGGCUAACUACGUG